UUUUUUUUGGAGCUGGGGACCGAACCCAGGGCCUUGCGGUUGCUAGGCAAGCGCUCUACCACUGAGCUAAAUCCCCAACCCCCAAUAAAAAUCCUCUUAAAAGGCUCCUGUGGUUUUGUUUUCCUAUUCAACACCUCUAGCACACAAAAUAUGAUUGUGAUGUGCAAUGAUUAAACCAGAGGACACAACAAAUAACAAUGUCACGUUCAAAUGCCAACCUUUUAUAAAAACUCACUGUCAAAAUUUUCUUGUAACUUACAAAGCAUCGUAAGACUUCCUCACUCCCAACUGACUAGGCACAUUUUAUAUUUUCUAUGUUUUAUAUUUAUAUUUUUUAUAUUGUGGAGUAAGACCACAACUGCAUCAGAGCUGAGAGCGUUGGGCUUGAGAAACUCAUUUUUAUUCCUGACUGACUGCAGGCUAACAUUUGUUGCCUUUUUUAGCAGACUUUUUCUGUGCUAAGGCUGACUCAGGCUACUGCACACGCUGUGCCCACACUCUGCUGCCAAGCUUCAUCCUGCACCCCUGCGCACGCAGUCAGAGAGCAGUCAGUGGAGCUGUCUGAUCAGUCUCUUUCCCAUCCCAACAGGAGGGACUGCUUUGACGCCUACAAAACGUCAGAUUUUAAUAAUGAAUUGUUUGACAUGAGAAAAGUUCUUUGGGGGCUUUAAAUGGUCUGUUUUGGUUUUUUUGUUUUUGUUUGUUUGUUU
rnacentral:lncRNA from 1 species